AUUGAACGCUGGCGGCAGGCCUAACACAUGCAAGUCGAGCGGUAGAGAGAAGCUUGCUUCUCUUGAGAGCGGCGGACGGGUGAGUAAUGCCUAGGAAUCUGCCUGGUAGUGGGGGAUAACGUCCGGAAACGGACGCUAAUACCGCAUACGUCCUACGGGAGAAAGCAGGGGACCUUCGGGCCUUGCGCUAUCAGAUGAGCCUAGGUCGGAUUAGCUAGUUGGUGAGGUAAUGGCUCACCAAGGCGACGAUCCGUAACUGGUCUGAGAGGAUGAUCAGUCACACUGGAACUGAGACACGGUCCAGACUCCUACGGGAGGCAGCAGUGGGGAAUAUUGGACAAUGGGCGAAAGCCUGAUUCAGCCAUGCCGCGUGUGUGAAGAAGGUCUUCGGAGUGUAAAGCACUUUAAGUUGGGAGGAAGGGCAGUAAGCUAAUACCUUGCUGUUUUGACGUUACCGACAGAAUAAGCACCGGCUAACUCUGUGCCAGCCGCCGCGGUAA
rnacentral:rRNA from 1 species